ACAAUGCUGUCUAUAGAGGAGAAGGGGUCUGUUGGGGAGGGAUUUGGUUUGCGCCGGGCUGGGGUUUGCUGCGGCUUGCUGCAGCGUGGCCGGUGGGUGCGAGAGUGCGCGACUUGUCUGUCCGGGUGGUCUCUGUCGCUGCUGGCUGCGGUUCACUUAUCCGCCGCUGCUGUAUGGUGAUGUUGUGGCAUUCAUUGGGAUGUUUCAAUUUGGUCAGUAGGCCAUUGUUGUUGGUCAGAGGAAGGAGCGGUGGUCUUCAUCUGGCCCAACCCGGUGUGCGCGGCGUGGCGGCUCUGUACAAAGGGAGAGACGAUUUGGGGACGGCGUGGCGCUUCUUCGGCUUCGCUCGGUGGCUAUCUUCCAUGUGUCCUGAUGGAUCCGCUCAUAACAAUUCUGUUGAAACUAUCCAUGAGCGAAUGUUUAUGCCAUCAAUGUUGACCAUUAUAUCAGAGAAUUUAAAGUAGGUAAUAUCCUAUCAUGUUUAAAUAAAUUCUCAUCUUAUUUAUUUCAAGGACUUGAGUGUUGUUACAGAAUACAUAUUAGCGGAUCUCGGUUUCUUAGGGUGAUGCCUCCUGCACCAACUGACACACUGUUGACAGCAUAAAAAAAGAUGCUUGAACUAAAACUAAAUUCAAUACUUGUUGCAAUUCAAGAGGAGCAUGGGGAAAUAUGAUGUGACAUGCAUCCACUACAUGUUUGGUAAUGACGUGAUGUUGAGGCGGCUAGGAGAAGCUCAACAGCCAGAUCAAGGGCUAUCGAGAUGGAUCUGGGAGCCAAGCAGUAGUUCUUCUGUUAAAUUUUGGUUAUUAUCUUUUCUAUUGUUACGAUUGUGGGAUGGUUGAUUUUGACUCGGUGUAACAUUUGCAUUUGUUUCCCAGCUUGUUGGCAUAGAUGUGUGGCACUGCGGCAACUAAUCAAGAGCGAGGGCAGUGCACAUCAGAGCUACGCUGAAUGUAGCGAGCCAACCACGAAUUGGGAUGAAAGUAGCGCCAGCAGAAUCAGUAGGUUGGAUGGGAAGGCGGUUGUUGCCCUUGUCCCUUGGUGCUAGCCUACCGUGGUGGCCUCACUAACUUGCUCAUUGCGAAUACGAGUUUGUGGGGUCGCGAGUUGCUGCAGAUUUGUUUUUAUCACUUUUUACAAUAUUUAUUGAUGUAUCCCUAACUCAUCGAGUCAUUUUUAGCUUUGAUUUCCCAUAUACGCCAGCCUAAAUAUCCGUCAGAAUAUUUGCAUGGUUAGUGGACAUUGUCCCUUUCUUUCUAAUGUUUAAUAUUUUAUAUUGCCGAUAGAAAUAAUUUUAUCCGCUUGAUUUAGGAAGUGCACAUAGGUAGGUCAACAUAUUUUGUAGCUCUUUCGGAUGUAAAAGCAUAUGUUGCAUAAGAAAUUAUUAUCUUCCAAGCAUACUCACAUUUCACUAA